UAUUGCCUAGGUUUUCUUCUAGGGUUUUUAUGGUUUUAGGCCUUACAUUUAAAUCUUUAGUCCAUCUUGAGUUAAUUUUUGUAUAAGGUGUAAGGAAGAGAAGGAACUGUUCGAGCAGGAGGGCGAUGGGAACGGUGUAGCGAUCUGUGACCCAACUGAAAGAGGAAGGCAGUGGGCAGCAGUGGGCAGAAAGCGCGCCGGUGGCGCUGCAGCAGCCCGGAGUCGCCCGGAGGCUGACCCAGGUGGGAGUGCUGGGGCUGCAUUUAAUGAGGGUGUGCCCGCCCCUGCGCGGACGUUCCCCGCCCGUGUUCACUGCGUACUGGGUGCGAGGUCAGCAACACAUUUUAUGAGGGACCGACGGCCUGCUAGCUGCUGGGGGCAGGUAGGGAACAGUAAGGAGAGCAGUCAGCGGACCUCCUGAAAAGGGGCGGGAGCCAUGCAGACAGCCCGCAAGAGUUUCCCAGGCAGAGGGGACUGUCGAGCCCCGGAGGUAGGGACAGAUGCAUCCAAGGGAACACAGAUUGCCACACCGCCAGAGAACAGGAGAAAGGGCCUCGGGACAGCAAGCCACAGGACAGAGGGCUCGGGACAGUGGGCCAUGGGAAGGACGUAGGGCAGAGGAGCACAGAGCUUGUCCCAGACACUGAGCCAGGCAAGGGGGACACAGAGAGGAAGUUCAACUCCUGGUGGACACCAGGAAGCCCAGGAGAAAAGCAGGACGUGCUCGGUGGUGGAGGGCGGGCGGGGCACCAAGGAAUGGCCGCAGUGCCGGGGCCGCAGGUCUAGGAGGGAGCCCUGGACUACGACAGAGGAUGAGGGAGCCUUCCAGAGAAGGCGGCAGGAGAAGGCCGAGGAGCGAAAGGGAGUGGGUUGGGUUCCCGGGAGCUGAGGCCCAGAGUGGGAGCCACAGCCGGGGGCCCCCAAGGGUGGAGCCCAGGGAAGGGAGAUGCGAGGAGACUCCAGGGCGCUUUGACAGCGAGUGGGGCGUGUCCCCAAGGCAGCGGAGGAAGCUGCAGUGUCGUCCAGGAGUCGGAGUUUAGGAGGCGUGGCGCAGUCCUGGAUUUGGUAUAGUCACACUCAUCAGAGCAGAUCACAGCACAGGAGGAAAUGAAAGACAGUGCCAAGUACCUACCGUGUCUUUGAGUUUGAAGGCUGACUGUGAUUUCGCCCUCUAAGGGGUUCCUCUGCUUUCAGAUUUUCUACAAUGAUUAUGUACUUAGAGUGGAAAAAGAAUGCUUUAAAAUAAUCAAACUCUGAUUAUGCACAAGCACUCAAAUAGGAGCUGGAAUCAGAGAAGAGAGAGACAGAAACGAAGCCAGUCUCAGAACAGAAAAUUGACUACUUGUGCGGAAUCCUGUCCACGGAGAACGUUGAACUUGGUUUCCAGUGCGGACUAAAUGUGAGGGGCACUAGUUUCUGCGCCUGCUGCUCUCCCUACCUUCCUCCCUCCUUUUCACCUGCCGACUCCCGCUGGCCACAGUCUCAGCUGGGACUUCACUGCCCCGGAAGCCUGCAGGAGCUGCUCCCCGCCACGUGGCUCUGAUCCUCUACUACUGUGCUGACCUGGGCCCCCACCUGCCCUCCCAGCUUC
rnacentral:lncRNA from 1 species